rnacentral:rRNA from 1 species
AACGAACGCUGGCGGCAGGCUUAACACAUGCAAGUCGAACGCCCCGCAAGGGGAGUGGCAGACGGGUGAGUAACGCGUGGGAACAUACCCUUUCCUGCGGAAUAGCUCUGGGAAACUGGAAUUAAUACCGCAUACGCCCUACGGGGGAAAGAUUUAUCGGGGAAGGAUUGGCCCGCGUUGGAUUAGCUAGUUGGUGGGGUAAAGGCCUACCAAGGCGACGAUCCAUAGCUGGUCUGAGAGGAUGAUCAGCCACAUUGGGACUGAGACACGGCCCAAACUCCUACGGGAGGCAGCAGUGGGGAAUAUUGGACAAUGGGCGCAAGCCUGAUCCAGCCAUGCCGCGUGAGUGAUGAAGGCCUUAGGGUUGUAAAGCUCUUUCCCCGAUGAAGAUAAUGACGGUAGUCGGAGAAGAAGCCCCGGCUAACUUCGUGCCAGCAGCCGCAGUAA